CCCUUAGAUGUCCUGGGCCGCACGCGCGUUACACUGAUGCAUUCAACGAGCUUAUAACCUUGGCCGAGAGGCCUGGGCAAUCUUGUUAACGUGCAUCGUGAUAGGGAUAGAUUAUUGAAAUUAUUAAUCUUGAACGAGGAAUUCCUAGUAAACGCAGAUCAUCAAUCUGCAUCGAUUACGUCCCUGCCCUUUGUACACACCGCCCGUCGCUCCUACCGAUUGAAUGCUCAGGUGAGCCAUUCGGACUUUCAUCAUGCUGGUUUCCAGUUUUGAUGAAGGAAAGUCUUGCGAACCUUAUCAUUUAGAGGAAGGAGAAGUCGUAACA
rnacentral:rRNA from 1 species